rnacentral:tRNA from 1 species
GGCCACUUGGUGUAGUGGCAGCAUACUCCCUUCGGGCUUUACUAAAGGUAGCCAGGUUGACGUUUCAACCAAGCACAAGACUUUGGGAGUGGUCGUCGGUUCAAUCCCGGCAGUGGCCC